rnacentral:misc_RNA from 1 species
AGGCGAUUUUCCACUGUCUAGACGAUCUCGGCUCUACACUUGACAGCGCCAGUCUCGGCAUUCUGCGAUCGACUUCGGCCUGAGAACGACGCGUUUGUUCUUCGAUCGCGCAGAACUGAAGCGCGUAAGAUUCAUCGCAAGUGUUGCAUUAGAGUUGUUUUUGAUUAGGAGCCGCGCAGAAGACAGAUGACUGUGAAACAAGUUUCGUUCGCGUCUUGUACGAAAAACUGUUGCUGCGUGAAGAUCAACAACUUGGAGCAGAACAUCUUGAAAAAGGCGUUUAAAAAAUGUUUCGGCGUAAUGCGGCAAAAGGUGCACGUUAACAAAAAGGGCGUCUCGCAAGAUCGAGCGAGAUUUAGUCAGCGUCUGAAAUGCUGUCGGUAGUAAGCGCCGGUGCCGCGGCUGGUAUGGGCGGCAUGGACCGGUUGCGAGGCGGCGGAAGGGCGGCAGCAAGAGAACUGGCCGCCACCCGCGACCGGCAGGUACGACUGCAUGCUGUGACAACCGAUCUGAGCCUGAACCUGCCGCCCAGUAUAGCGUUGCCUGAUGGAGAGGAAUAUCAUUAUCACCAUCGCCACCACCACCACCAUCGAACCGCCUAUUCAUCCCGUUCUCGAUUUCAUAUGAGGACUCCCGAACAAGAAGCGGAAAUUUAUCAGAAAUGUGUCCGACCGCCACCCAAUAGAUCAGCCAGGGAGAGCAAGUCUCCUCCCCCGUACCGAUCGAGUUCGGCUGGUGUCUUGGCUUCCAGCUCCUCUUCUUCGGGCGCUAGCAGCGAUUGGAGCUCAUCCUCAGGAAGUGAUCCCAUGGUGGUGCGAUGCCACUCAAUGUCCUCCACUUCAUCUGCGAUGUCCUGUAAACCGGAAGUGUCCGGCACGUCCCACCACCACAGCGUUUCGUCUCAGAGUGCGCAAAAGACUGACUUUCUGCAACGGACUGUUAAGAUAUUUACUGGUAAAAAAUCGCCUGCAACGAGCAGUAGUCAACCGAUGGCGGCUGCACCGUGUGUGAUAGUACCGACUGCGGCGGCGCAAAAUCGGGCCCAACCCAGGCGAGACGCAGGCCCAGGCCAGAAGCCUCCUGUCUGACUACCGCCCCCCGUUUAGAUGAAAAUUUUCGUGGAUAUUUAUUCCAAAAAUUAAAUUGUAGCGAUGGUCUGCCCGGUAUUCACUUGCAACAUUGUCUAGCAAUCUUCAAAGGUCUGAACAACAACGUUGAUCGUUACUGGUUUAACAAUAUUCCAAAUUGCUUUGAACUAUGAUGUCAGACAGUGGGAAAUCAAAGCACACUAUCACUGAGAGAAACUUUGAAUUUCGGUCCGGAGCUGAACAUUUGAUGUUUGGGCAGCCAAAACAAUUAACAGAAUAAUUGUAGUUAAACUAAUGUUGAUGAACUGUCGAGAAACGGCCAUUGGAUUCAUCAAAGUUUAGCGAGUCCUGGCCUAUAGGGUGCUGGUCAGCUAGUGUGCGUUCGUUAUUUGCAAUAACUGAUCUAGAUUAAGUCGAAAUUAUGGUCGAUAUCGAUUAUGGUCAAUAUCGAAAACCCAUUGCUCAGUCGUUGCAGUGUAGAAAACCGAUGGACAACUUCUGGAUGUGAUUCACUGUGAAUGGACAAAUAAUUCGCGAAAUAUCUGAGCCCCGGCAACCCUACGUAUUUCACUAGUUUAAUCCAUUUGACGAGGCGCGGUGUGCGUAGCCAAAUAUUUUAUAACUUAUGUACUGUGUACAUGGUAUAGAUGGAAGCUGCUUUUGGACUGAAAAUCCUGUUUUACGUAACACCUUACAACAUAACUCGUUGAGUUCACCACAGUAUUAUUAAAACAAAUAUAGUCGUUACUUUGAGACCUAUUUUAGACUCGAUUGCUUUGAAAUUGUUCCCGCUCUCUUAAAACAAGGGUUUCAUAUCAACAGUGCGCUUCCCCAAAAUCAUGCUAUAAUUAUAUGAAUCAAAAUGUAUUUGGCGAAAGAGCCGCUAGGUCGCAACAAGAGAUAUUCCAAUUAAAGUAAACCAAUUAUCUAUUAAGUAGUAGAACGUUGUUCUGUUUUUAAAUAUUGUUUAUUGAGGCAAACUUCAAAGGGAAUCGCCACUAAAUAUGCGACAUGUUAAUACAUCAGCGUAACUUUUAAAUCUUAAUUUAUUCCCGUAUUUAUUAUUUAUUAAAAUCAAUUUUUGUACCUAAAACUAAAUGAAUUUAUGCUGAGCGCGUGACAUUUAUGGAGGUUCCCAUCCAAGUGCAACAAGCUAGAAAGAAGACUUAGUGAAUUAUUCAUAAGCAAAUUUCGUUUAACAUUUUUUUACGUUUAUUUAUAAUUUAUUGCUAAAACGUGUUCAUUCUAUAUUGUAAGAGAUUUUAGCGUCGUUUUAC